rfam:Ovis aries breed Texel chromosome 4, whole genome shotgun sequence.
UUCCUGGAGGCUCAGACGGUAAAGAAUCUGCCUGCAAUGCAGAAGACCCAGGUUCCAUCUCUGGGUCGGGAAG